GGAGCAAAGAAGCAGCAAGAAGAAGGAAAAAGGGGUGAUCUCCACCAGAUUUGAUAGUGACUUUUCCAGAAGACAAGUGUUCCCACAGCUCUGCUGAGACACAUUCUCCAUGUGGAUGUGUUCUUCUUUUUUAUGACAAUGAGACUUGUCUGCUCCUAGCAGCACCAAUCUACUUCAGAGAAGAUACUGGACAUCGAAGAAACUUCACAUGGAGUUUACUUUCUUUGUGACAAAAGCCACUGGACAAGAAAAUGCCCUUGUCUCAACUGCUGACAGUGUGCUGUCCUAGUUGGACAAGCAGGACACAAAAGAAAGUGACUGCCAAACAUUGUCAAGACAAGGAGGGACAGCCCUUCAGAAGAUCCUGCUUCACAGAAAGUCUGUUGGAUAUGCUAGGCCUGUAGGCUAAGGAGGAGCCUUGGGUGACUGUCCAGGCAGCCAGCUGUUUCUGUCAUUUCUCACAUUUUUUGAAAGUCGCUUGCUUGCACUUCCUGCUUACUCAGUUAAUGUUAUUUCCUUCUUGGGUCUCUGAGGGAGUUGAAGACUAGAUAGUUAGAGUUUUCUUUGUUUACCAGACGCAGAAAGCAAGUUAUGAUAGGAAGUAAAUUGGUACAAGACUUUGGACUCACCAAGAUAGGAUAGAUAUGGAGUAUUUUCUCUGAACUUGUCAAAUGCAAAUGGACUAGACAUUGUUGAUAUAUUUAUUGCCUGUGUAUAUUGUAUGUAGCCAUUGGACUUAUUGUAUAUUGUUUUUCUUAUAUUAUUUAUAGCCUUCUUUUUAUUUUAGACAAAAAGGAGAACUAUAGUGGUAUAUUAUUUGUAUUUUAUUAAAUAAAUCUUGCCUGAAGACCAGA